UUGACCUCCAAUCAGGUAGGACUACCCGCUGAACUUAAGCAUAUCAAUAAGCGGAGGAAAGAACUAACAGGAUUCCCCUAGUAACUGCGAGUGAAGCGGGAAAGCUCAAUUAAAUCUGGCGUCUCCGGCCGUCCGAGUG
rnacentral:rRNA from 1 species